rnacentral:rRNA from 1 species
UGCAGUCGAGCGGUGAUGCAGGAGCUUGCUCUUGUGGAUCAGUGGCGAACGGGUGAGUAACACGUGAGUAACCUGCCCUUGACUCUGGGAUAAGCGUUGGAAACGACGUCUAAUACUGGAUACGAACCGCAACCGCAUGGUUAGUGGUUGGAAAGAUUUUUUGGUCAAGGAUGGACUCGCGGCCUAUCAGCUUGUUGGUGAGGUAAUGGCUCACCAAGGCGACGACAGGUAGCCRGCCUGAGAGGGUGACCGGCCACACUGGGACUGAGACACGGCCCAGACUCCUACGGGAGGCAGCAGUGGGGAAUAUUGCACAAUGGGCGCAAGCCUGAUGCAGCAACGCCGCGUGAGGGAUGACKGCCUUCGGGUUGUAAACCUCUUUUAGUAGGGAAGAAGCGAAAGUGACGGUACCUGCAGAAAAAGCACCGGCUAACUACGUGCCAGCAGCCGCGGUAAUACGUAGGGUGCAAGCGUUGUCCGGAAUUAUUGGGCGUAAAGAGCUCGUAGGCGGUUUGUCGCGUCUGCUGUGAAAACUGGAGGCUCAACCUCCAGCCUGCAGUGGGUACGGGCAGACUAGAGUGCGGUAKGGGAGAUUGGAAUUCCUGGUGUAGCGGUGGAAUGCGCAGAUAUCAGGAGGAACACCGAUGGCGAAGGCAGAUCUCUGGGCCGUAACUGACGCUGAGGAGCGAAAGCGUGCGGAGCGAACAGGAUUAGAUACCCUGGUAGUCCACGCCGUAAACGUUGGGAACUAGAUGUGGGGGCCAUUCCACGGUCUCCGUGUCGCAGCUAACGCAUUAAGUUCCCCGCCUGAGGAGUACGGCCGCAAGGCUAAAACUCAAAA